CAACCUUAAGUUUUGGUAGAUAAAUUAUAAAUUCCAAUUUUAUAAGCUGUGGUUCAAGUCCACAAGGGUUCC
rnacentral:tRNA from 1 species